rnacentral:lncRNA from 1 species
GGGCCUCCUGCUGCCUCCGGUGCCCUCUGCUACCAGCCCAGGUGGUAAAAGGGAGUAAAAGCUCUCAAGCUGGUCCUCUUAACACAGAGCUGCAGAGCGCUCAAGAGGCCAAGGCGGCCGACAGACCUUGACGCGGCCCACGGUUCUGCCCCUCCACGCUGGGAUCCUCCCCGACUCCCGAACCAGCACUAUCCAGCUCAGACCCAAGGUCCCUUAGGGAUAGUACAGGUCCCCAGAGAGAGAAGACGGGUGCCCAGCACCUGCAGUAAAGCAUCCCAAAGCCAAAGGCCCAAGGUGUCUUAGCCACAGCUGGCACCACCUGAGGGUCCUGGCUGGACAGACAGCAAAUCUCAUGACCUAUCACUCUGGGGUGGCAAACAGAACCACAUCUGGGUAUUACCCAUGUGACACAAGCCCCGGCCAACUGGAACAAAUGCUGUAUGGCACCCCUUGCUCAGCUUCUCCUGAAGGUCCUGGUCUUGUGGAAGUCACCAAAGGUCACCAAACAUCUAACACCCCCUUCCUCAAGCACAGCCAAAACGAGCCCUGGACCCUAUUUUCCCAGAGACAGCCUUCCCCAUGCUGUUUGGAUCAGACUUCUGGAGGGAAGAGGGCACUCGUUUCAACAAGUAUCUCCCCCACCUCUCUGAAAGCAAUACAGCUCCAGCCCAGCAUCGUAUCUGGGUUUAGGUUCAAAAGAGGGGUCAAAUUGGGGGCAGCAGGUGUUUCCUGCUGAAGAGACCAUAAACAUCCCUGGGGCCUACAGCUGCUAUUCCAUCACCUUCCUUAUGAGGAGCCUUAGACACACUGAGAUGAUUCCUCUGGAAGGGGGUGAGGUUCAGGUAGCAAAUACAGAGGUACAUAUGCACUGUUACUAGGCCUUCCCAGGCAGGAGCCCCUAGUUCAGGCACAACUUAGAGAUCAAUACCUCCCUGUCAAGGGGAAGCUAAGUUCUUCAGUGGAGCUUGACACCCCCGGAUCAGAUGGUCCCACCUUUGUAGCCAGGGUCUUCAUUUGGCCUCUAUGCAUCUAAUCCUACAGCCCUCUUUGCUUCUACAGGGAAGCUAGUAUAUACCAUUCACCAGCCUCCUCCUCCAUCUGGGGAAACCAAGGCAGGAGGCAGUGAGGUGACUAUAAUCACCUGGCAAGGAAGGAGGCCUCUGAUGCAUCUGAGGGGAUGUCCUGCUCCAGGGCAAAUAGCACGUUCCUUACUGAAGAGCAGGUAGUGGCAAGAGUCUUCCUCAAUUCUUUCCCCAGUCCAGUCUUUAGGGAGACAAGGGACCCCCUCCCCCACCCCUCCAUUUGUGCCAAAGUAGCAACUGACGUGAGAAAUUUCCCGCAAGUAACUCCAUGGUCCAAAGAAUGAAAGGGCCCCAAAGGAUGAGGUAGGAUUUCACCACCCCAGGUCCCCCAGACUGGGCAGUGGCAGCCAGCUGCAUGUGACCCACCAUCUAUUGCCAGUGCCCCACACAUCCCUCUCAUAUCACACAGGCCCCAAGACAACCCACAGGACUGAAGCUACAGGAGCCCAGCUUUGGGAGAUUGUGCCACAUGGGACUAAGCUCCUGGUGCCCUGGCAAGGGUUUUCCCCUCCUUACAUUUUCUACUUUGCAGUCUCUUAACAGUAUUCCCAAACUAGGUCAACACAGCUCCAGUCCACACCAGCAUAAUAGGCUUCCUCCCCAGGGCAGCUUAGAGGAAGCUCCUUCUGGGCAUGGUCAGGUGGUCCUUCUUCCCUCUCUCCAUCCCCUUCAUCCCCUGGCCUCAACUGAUUGGCUGAGGGGGUGUGUGGAGGGCCUUUAGGCUUCCCCUCCAGCCCCCACAACUAGCAUCCAUAACAGGAAACUUGUGGAAGGCUCAGUGUCCCCACCACAUCACUUCUCUCUCCUGCCUAUUGGAGGGCUACCAGGGUCCCCAAGGUUGCUCCUGGAUCUCUCUCCCCUCCCUCUAGUGGGAGGGGGCAAGGAUCCAGAGGACCAUAUGGCUUGGUCCCUUGGACAAGCAAGCUCAGGGAGGACAUAAGGGAGGAGGCAGCUACACAAGACUGCACCCCUGUUGGGCACAGACCACACAAUCUGGCGCCGACCCUGGGGCCAGCUGGGCCUUGUCCUCCACCUGCUCAAAUGUGCUUCCACCAACCAGAGAAAACCCAUUUACUAGUUUUUCUAAUAAAUCAAUAAUGCUC